GGCCCUAUCGUCUAGUGGCUAGGACGCGUCCCUCUCACGGACGAAACCGGGGUUCGACUCCCCGUAGGGUCA
rnacentral:tRNA from 1 species